rnacentral:rRNA from 1 species
GACGAACGCUGGCGGCGUGCUUAACACAUGCAAGUCGAACGAUGACGACCGAGCUUGCUCGGUCUGAUUAGUGGCGAACGGGUGAGUAACACGUGAGCAACCUGCCCUUCACUCUGGGAUAACCUCGGGAAAUCGGGGCUAAUACCGGAUAUGAGCUCCUGUCGCAUGGCGGGUGUUGGAAAGUUUUUCGGUGAAGGAUGGGCUCGCGGCCUAUCAGUUUGUUGGUGAGGUAGUGGCUCACCAAGGCGAUGACGGGUAGCCGGCCUGAGAGGGCGACCGGCCACACUGGGACUGAGACACGGCCCAGACUCCUACGGGAGGCAGCAGUGGGGAAUAUUGCACAAUGGGCGAAAGCCUGAUGCAGCGACGCCGCGUGAGGGAUGACGGCCUUCGGGUUGUAAACCUCUCUCAGCAGGGAAGAAGCGAAAGUGACGGUACCUGCAGAAGAAGCGCCGGCUAACUACGUG